CGCAGCCCUGCACGCCGCCGCGUCCGCGCCGCCGCCGCCCGCGCCCGCGCUAGUGAAUGCAAAGAGGGCAGUGAUAGCAACAAAGAGCAGACGGCCGCCGCCGCCUGUACAAAACACGCCAAAUAACAAGAAUCUAAGACUGAAAAAGGGUAUGAAGACGGCGAAGCAGCGUCUAGGCAAAAUCCUGAAAAUACACAAGAUGAUAUAUUGAACGUAGCGUAACGUAUUGUAAAUGUAGUAGUAGCCUAGUUUAGGUGGACAGACGAGUGGCGGCGGCCAUUUUGAUGGCUACGCAAACUCUUUGGGGACCGAUUGUUGCUGUUUCUAAUUAUAUUUGAUACCCAGUUACUGCUUUAGUUUUUUCUAGAGAGCUUGAGCAUAAAAAAGAUAGGAGGAGAAGACAAUCUACAUACAAAGUGCGCUCAGGCAACGCACAUAGACAACGCUCACGGACAUGACAUCGUAAAUUAUCGCAAACCAGUCUAAACCAGUGCGAGCGCGAAUGCCGCCCGAUUGAGACGCAUCUGUGUGCGUAUGCGAAAUGAAGUACAUACUGGUGAUUGUCUUCUGUUAUUAUCUAUUUUGUCGCUUGAGGCGAUAAGUGUUAUUGUAACAACCAUGCUUCAAUAGAAGCAUGUAAUUAGUGUUAAUUAAUGUCUAAAUUACGCUAGAAUCGGACCUCAGACAGUAAAUUUGGUACGCCAUCAAAACGGCCGGCCAUUGUAUAUUUUAUAUAUGUGUUAGCACGGACCAAUGUGUGUUGUUGUAGCGGUUUUAUUUUGUCUGUGGAUAGACGCGUUCCCAUCCUUGUCUAUGGUACUUGAACCCGGGACCGGUCCCUUUUUAUAUGCAGCUUAGAAAUGCUUGUUUAUGAUCAAUUUAAUACUGUACUUUUUAAUAUGACAUUUUGCUUAAUCUAAUUUCAUUUGACAUCGAAAAUCAUGACAUUCUCCCCACAGCGUAAUAUUAUUUUGAAUUUGACAUUCAAUAAAUCCCACACAUUUUGACAUUUAAUAUUAAACUAAUCAUAAUCUUACCUUGGCCUUUUAGACUUAAAUUCACAUGUAAAUAAAAACAUGAAUCAUUUCGUCAGUCAGUUUAAUCUUCAUUAAAAAUUGACAGAAGAUCGUAACCAUAGAUUACAAAAUUAGUUAUUCUUGUGUAAUAAGUCCAUUUAUCUGUAUUUUUGUACCUUUAUGGUUGACCUCUCGUUUAUGCGAACGCGUCUUUACACUAUGGAAUCCGGUACGGUCAGCAUAUACGCGAUGCAUAAAUAAAUACAUCGCUUCACCACGCACUACUUGACGUUGGUGAAAUUGGUAUGUGAAAUGGCAUAAUUAUGAAUUGGUGAAAAAAGUAACUAUAGCAAUUUUAGGACUAAAAAGUUUAUGUAAAAGUUUGUAUAAGGUUUAUUUUUGUGCAAUAAAUAUAUGAUGUAUUAUGAUUAUGUACAGUCGCGGAAUGAAAAGGUUCGUCACCUUAGUGUCGGUUUUUGCUUGCACUAGGUACUGUAGGAGUCAAACCUGCCAACAUAACAGUGCAAGAAACAGUGCUGCUAACAUUUAAAUAAAUAUGACGUUUGCUAACGAAUAAGGUUUUGCUUGUUUAUUUUUCUAUCCCAUUAGUGCAAUAUUACAAAAUGUAGUUUUUUUAUUUAAUAGAUAAUGGCAGGUUGAACCAACAAGAAGGUUUUAGUUUAUCAAUCAUAAUAAUCUUCUUGACAAGUUGUUUGACACAACUUUGAUGUGAAUAAUUUUGAACUUUACUGACGAGCAGUUAAAGAUUAUUUUCUCUAACUCGAGAUUAUUCUGUAACAUAGUUUCAAAAGGUAAUAUGUGCUCGCGAUUCGUUGAAUGAAUCAAUUUGAAAACUGACGAACCUUUUCAUUCCGUGACUGUACUACAAUGCAAAUGAUCUCAUUCAACUCAAAUUUUCAAGAUUAUCCAACAAUUUCUAACGUGAAGUAGUGCACAGGCAACAGUCAUACAAUAGUAGUAAGUUUUUUCAUUUUGACAUUUUUUUGUUGCCACUUUGUACUUUUUCGGGAACGUAACCGAUAAAAGGUAUUCAUUAAAUUUUAUGUAAAAGUGCUACACAGGCCGUAUUAAUGUCAUUAAACUGAUAAUGACACUUUACGCCGAUGCGUAUCUCUUUCUAAAGAUUAAAGCCACUUGAAUACAUUUGUGUAUCCAGGCAUUAUUAUUAUUAUUGGACGGCUAUUAUAAAUUUAUUAUAAGACUGUUUUACAUGACAAAGGAAACUGCAUUUUUUCUAACAUUUUUUUGCGAAACGUACAUUACGUACACACGUUUUUUUCUACACAUUUUUAUAUUUGAUCCACCUGUGUCAUGUAAGGCAUGCUUUAUUUUGUGUAAGAGAUCUGAUAGUUAAUUAAUUUAGUAAUUAGUUUUCUAAUUGAUGUGAUAAAAUCAUCUUUAUAGACGGGACGGACGAUAUAUGUAUAAAAAUGUACUAUCUUAAUAUUUUCUUUCAUAUUUCUAUUCGUAUUAGGAAAGUUAUAUUCGUUUCACGUUUUUCUAUUGGAAAAAUUACUUAAAAAAAGACAUAAAAAAAUGAUUUUUUAAUACUUUCUGAUCAUAAAACUCACCACCGAAUCAUAUAUGUGUAAAUAUUAAAUAGCGGUAAAUAUAUAGGUUGGAUGUGUUGUGCUUUCACAUGGUUUGUUAUGUUUUUUUAGUAUUAGUGUAUGUAAGUAUGAGUUUUCUUGCUGUUAAUUUGUUGUAUUGGGGCAGGUGCAAAAUAUAUCUGACAUAUAAUAAAAAUAGCAAAUAAAGAAAUCAAGUUAACUUGACAAAAAUAUAAUUUUGAUGUGAUUUGUUGGACUACUUAAAAAGUUUUUUAUUUGACAAUUUAUUUCCCUACAUUAUGUAGAAUGUAUUAUACACAUUAGCUUUAAAUUCAUCAAAUAAAUUCGUAGAUCAUAUUUGACAAUACUAUUAGAUAUUAUUACAUUUUGGUUUAAAAAAUCUUAUUUUCGAUAUUCUUAAGUAUCUAACCUCAAAGGUAAAAAAUCUAUAGGAAUUUAUAAUAAACAGUUUUGCUUCUGCCCCACCUAAAUAAUAUGAUUUCUCAUAUCUAUACAGGGUGAGUUUUCGAUGUGAAAAUCACAAAUUAUUUAGAUAAGGUUUCUACGUGUAGAGUGCGCUCUAUUUUUGUAUCAUUUCAUAUCAUGAUCUUUUUGUAAAACAGUUGUAUGAACAGAACGUUAAUUCCCAAUGAAUUUUGAGCUCUAUAUUUUUAUUCUACUCCAGUUGUUAACAUUUUGUCGCGUUUAGCCCUUCCGGGCUAGGAUUCGCGCUGUGAUAAAAUUUUAUCGAUGAUUUUAGACGACAAAUGUAUGGACUUAUCGCGUAAAAUGAUAAAAUUGCGUGAUGAAACGCUUAUCGCGGUGCUCAUCCUAGGCCUACUGGUGAAGGAAUUAAAUUAUUUUCACACUCCUUCGGCUAAGCUAAGAUAUGGACGUCAUUCGACAACUGUUUAUCAAUGAGUAACCACAAAUUGUAUUCGGUUUCGGUUUAAGACCAGCAUUUUGCAUUUUGUGCUUGUCGUUUAACAUUACAUUUUCAAUCAGCUUUAAAAAAAUUCGUAUUCACCAGGAGAGCAAAUGUCUCCCGACAGCGGAAAUGUCUAUGAAAAAACAUACGGGUCGAAUUGAGAACCUCCUCCUUUUUUUUGAAGUCGGUUGAAAAGUCGACGUCAUACCUGUCAAGUAGACAUUAUAAUUAUAGUCAAACAGUUCUAAAACUUCAAAUGCCAAAAUCUGAACUACCCAGUAUUGAUAGUAGCGCCCUCCUGUAAAUGUCAUAAUUAUAACCCUAUCGAGCUUACUGUGCACCUCGCUGGAAUGCGACUCUCCCUCCCACACACGUCGGCCUUCGCUCCGUCAGUACUAGAGCGUUGAUGUGACGUCACGGCCAGGUACGCAGUUAACUCGAUCGGAUUGUCCUGUUGUCCAACGUGGCGAAAACCGGAAUUAAUAAUCCAGUAUUAACAGUAGUGCCCUCCUAUCAAUGUCGUAGCUGUUUGGAUCGUGGGCUCAUUUCCGGAGGUCUGCUCUUUGAACGUUGAACUCCUUUUUGGACUCCUUUUUUCCGCUGCAUGUGUCCACUUUGGGUUCUUUUGUAUAAUCAGUGCUGUUUCUUCAGUUUUCUCUUCCCGUCUUUGGGUUUCCUGAAGUAAUUUUGCCGAGAUGGCUUCCGUAGAUAGCUUGGAAGUUGAGCGCUCAAUCGCCAUGAUGAGCGGGUCGUAGUCAUCUGUGAGCCCACUCAGUAUGAUCACCGCAACGAGUUCGUCGUCCAGCGGCGAUUCAAUUUCACUUAGUUGAUGUAAAAUUUCUUUUAUUUUGUUUAGGUAAACUUCCAUUGAGCUACAAUCAGAUAAUUUAUUGAACAGACUCCGCAGCAAACCCAAUCUCCUGCUUAGUCCACGUCUCUCAUACGUUUUCUGUAGUAUUGUCCACGCUUCGUGGGCACUUUUGGCAGUGCGUAUAUGCGGAAUUAUAGUCGGCGCCACGGACAGCGCGAUGCGCGCUAAG